rnacentral:misc_RNA from 1 species
GAGAUAUUACCUUUUAGUUUGUUAUGGUGACAUUGCAUAUCAAUGGUAUCACAUGCAGCAUAGUGCUACUUAUCGGUUUGCUGAUAAUAAUACCAUGUUAAUUUAAAUUUGAAACCUGCUUGUUUCAUGUGUAAUCUGUGUUGUUUAAUAAUGUUCUUUGAAUUACUUACAUAGUUUUGCUGGAUAGUAAUUUCAGUUGAUAUUGAUGUACAUUGUCUCAUGUCUUUUGCAGCUGGGAACUGGUCUUAGCAUAA